ensembl:lncRNA
GGAGAGGUUGCUCUAGAGAAACAGGGAGACAGAGAUGCUGCUCUAGAGAAACAGGGAGACAGGUAGACAGAGAAGCUGCUCUAGAGAAACAGGGAGACAGGUAGACGGAGAAGCUGCUGUAGAGAAACAGGGAGACAGGGAGACAGAGAAGCUGCUCUAGAGAAACAGGGAGACAGGUAGACAGAGAAGCUGCUCUAGAGAAACAGGGAGACAGGUAGACAGAGAAGCUGCUCUAGAGAAACAGGGAGACAGGGAGACAGGUAGACAGAGAUGCUGCUCUAGAGAAACAGGGAGACAGGUAGACAGAGAAGCUGCUCUAGAGAAACAGGGAGACAG